rnacentral:rRNA from 1 species
GACGAACGCUGGCGGCGUGCCUAAUACAUGCAAGUAGAACGCUGAAGGAGGAGCUUGCUCUUCUGGAUGAGUUGCGAACGGGUGAGUAACGCGUAGGUAACCUGCCUGGUAGCGGGGGAUAACUAUUGGAAACGAUAGCUAAUACCGCAUAAGAGUAGAUGUCGCAUGACAUUUGCUUAAAAGGUGCAAUUGCAUCACUACCAGAUGGACCUGCGUUGUAUUAGCUAGUUGGUGAGGUAACGGCUCACCAAGGCAACGAUACAUAGCCGACCUGAGAGGGUGAUCGGCCACACUGGGACUGAGACACGGCCCAGACUCCUACGGGAGGCAGCAGUAGGGAAUCUUCGGCAAUGGACGGAAGUCUGACCGAGCAACGCCGCGUGAGUGAAGAAGGUUUUCGGAUCGUAAAGCUCUGUUGUAAGAGAAGAAACGAGUGUGAGAAGUGGAAAAGCUCAACACUGUGAACGG